rnacentral:misc_RNA from 1 species
GAGGAGAUAAGAUUUUCCUGACACUGAACGAACGUGAACAUCAUCUUAUACUAAUAUUUUUAACCGAUCAGUGUAACCAAAGUAAAUUAAUCAGAGUUCAGUGAGCAUGGGCAUUUCUAAAGAUUUAUAACACAUAAAGUAAAAACAAAAUUACCCAUUCUGAACUAGAAAGUUUGCUUUUAGUAGGAAAGUAUAUACCUGGUCUUCCUUUUUAACACACAUCAAUGGAAAUGUUACCUAAUGGACUUGGCUUCUCUUCAUCUGGAAAACAGAACUUCAGAGAUGUUGGUGUUGCAGUAAACGAUAUUGAAGCUCCAGCAAACUCUUUGCGAGAACCCGCUACGAAUUUGGAUAACACCAAGGGAGAAAACUUAGUCUUUCGUAAGUCGAUAAUUUCAACAAAAACGGAGCACUGCUGUGACCUUUUCUGGAAAAAAAAACACACUACAAUCACACUUUGUUGCGUUUUCUUGAGCUUUGGAAUGUGUGUGGCUUUCUUAGGUCCAACUCUGUUGGACCUGGGCUGUAAGACUAGUACAGUGUUCGCUACCAUGUCAUGGGUGUUCUUCAGUCAAUCCCUGUCUGUACUCCUAGGGUCAGUCUGUGGAGGGCUCUUACUCAAAAGAUUUACCACAAAUGUGAUGCUAAUAGUGGGAACAACAGUUAUGACUAUCACCAUGGCAAUUAUUCCUUUCUGCAAUUUACUCUGGACGUUGGGUGUUGUGUUGGCUAUAAUGGGGUUUUUUAUGGGCACUAUCGAUACAGUGGCAAACGUCUCCAUGAUCCAGCUGUAUGGAAAGGAAGUGUCACCGUUUCUCCAGGCACUUCAUUUUUUCUAUGGAGUUGGAGCAUUUUUAAGUCCAAUGAUAGUACAACCGUUCCUCUUGAAUCAGGACUGUUCUCACUUCCUAGACAAUACCACAGAAGUUGUCAAUGAAUACGAAGAAAACUAUUCCCUGUCUGCCACAACACUCGCUGAAGCGCAGAGCAAAACCCACAUUGACUUAGCUUUCUGGAUCAUGGCACUACUGAUGGUUCCCGUUGUCAUUCUUUCAUUGAGUCUCGUAGGAAGACAAGAACACAAAGGGACCUAUCCAAUAAACUCGACACACACUACAUCAAACACGCAGAAUAUGUAUGGAAAUAUAGAUUGUGAAGACAAGAAAAAAGAUGCGAUGUCCCACGUAGUCCUGGUGACAGUUUUAUGUACAAUCAUCCUUUUCCUCUGUGAUGGAUUGCAAGCAGGAUGUGGAGGAUAUAUUUACUCGUAUGGAGUAAAGGGCCCUGCUGGACUACCACCAAAUAAGGCUGCUUUUCUAAAUGCUUUGUUUUGGGGGAUGUUUGCCGGUGGGCGACUCAUUUCUAUUGUACUAGCGACAAAACUUUCUCCAGCUUUCAUGCUACUGUGUAACUUUGUGGGCUGUACAGUUGGAAUUAUCUUGAUAAUAAGUUCUCCCAGUUGCCAGACAUCACUGAUCCUUGGAGUUUGCUUAUUGGGGGUUUUCAUGAGCAGCGUUUUCCCGACUGUACUUUCCCUUUCUGAGCAGUACGUAAACAUUACCCCAACCAUUACAAGUAUUCUUGUGUUUGGCGCAACCUCGGGAGAAAUGUCUCUGCCAGUCAUCGUUGGUCAUGAGUUUGGCAGAACUGGUCCAAUCAGCUUCGUCGUCAUUGGACUUGUGUUAUGCUUUCUCUUAUUAAUUUUCUACAUGGCGCUGUGGUUGGUUGGUCACAACAUGAAUUACUCAGCUUCAUCCGGACUGAUGGCCUUUCUCAGGAGGAACAUUAUCACCAAGAUGUCAGCUGAGCGCAAGUCUUCGGGCCUCAUGAGGGAACAUGUGUGUCACUACUCACGCAUAACACCCGAACACUCGGAAAAUGGUGUUGGAGAUAAGUACAGCGACUCGGAAAGUGAGGAACUGCUCCAAACUCGCUAAGAGGUGCGAUCCUACCUUUAUAUAGUUCGGUCUUUAAACUGUUAUUAAUACCAGUCCUACGUUGUAGUCCGUCUUUGAAUCUUUAUCAACACCAGUCCUACUUUUGUGUAGUCCGUAUUUAAACUGUUAUUAAUACCAGUCCUACUUUGUACUUCAUAUGUGAACUGUUAUUAACAACAGUACUACUUUUAUGGAGUUCGGUCUUUAAACCGUUAUUAACACCAAUCCUACUUUUGUGUAGUUCAUAUUUAAACUUAUUAGCAUCAGUCCUACUUUUGUGUAGCCCAUAGUUAAACUUUUACUGUUUUCAUAACUUUUGUGAAAUUGAAUUCAUUUCUUCCUGCUCAGAGACCGCUUUAGUCAUUUUCCAAAUUCAAAUAUAAAAUAAUUUCCCUCACAUCUGACCACAGUUUGAACACCUGUUUAUAUAUAUAGCUCUAUGGCAAUAAGGAAAAAUGUUAAACUUGGUUAUACCCGACUGUUGUAAUAAUAGUGUUAUAUGGAAAGGCAGGAAAUUAAUUUCUGUUUAGAUUAAUCACUAUGAUACAACAAUGACAAAAAUGUAAAAGAACUAACAAUACUUGUUUUCUUAUUUUCCAGAUGUACAACAUUCGUUAUAAACAAAGCAAGCUAUUUUUUAAAAAUCCACCAAGGUUAAUAUAUUUCUAUUGUUUUUAAUCCUCAGGAUAUAACAGAUACAACAAUACUACUAACGCACAUAACAUACCACAGGUUGUUUCUACUGACCUAUUAUCACAGAAGAAAUACUACAUGUUGGUUGUACUGAACCUAUUAUACCAGAUGACAUACUACAGGUUGUUUCUAUGAUCCCAUUAUUCCAAAUGACAUACAAGUUGUUUCUACAAUCCUAUUAUCCCAAAUGACAUACAAGUUGUUUCUACUGGUCCUAUUAUACCAGAUGACAUACUACAGGUUGUUUCUACAAUCCUAUUAUCCCAAAUGACAUACAAGUUGUUUCUACUGGUCCUAUUAUACCAGAUGACAUACUACAGGUUGUUUCUAUGAUCCCAUUAUUCCAAAUGACAUACAAGUUGUUUCUACUGAUCCUAUUACACCAGAUCUUGUACUAUAGAUUGUUUCUGCUGAUCUCAUCAAUACUAAUAAAAGACUAGAAGUUGGAUCUACUGUUGUACUUAGUGAUGUUUCCAAAUAAUGUUUUUUUUAACCUUGUAUCCUGACAGACUUUUUUUUUCCUUGUAACUAGAGGCAGUUGUUUUUUAUUCUAUGUAACCAAGAAGAACUUAUUUUUGUUUCAUAUAAUUAGGUGUGGUUAUUAUCUUUGUUUCAUUUAAUCAGAUAAUUUUUAUUUUUCGUUUGAAAUAACCAGCUAAAGAUCUUUAUUGUCAUUUCAUGUAACCAGGCAGAUUUCAUUUCAUAUAACCAGGUGGAGUUAUUAUUUCUAUUCAUGUAACCAGAGGUUAAAGUUCCUGUAAGCUUUUCUAUUGCUUUAACUUUUAAAGUUUUGAAUGUCUGUCAGUGUACUAAGAAAACACAGCUGUUAAGUGUAAUGCACUUUAAGAAUAAAUAAAACUCAAGUUGAGGAAUGACAAGUCUGCAGUAACUGAAUCUUUCUGAGAACUGCAUGUACAUCCACCGUUUGUGCACAAA